rnacentral:rRNA from 1 species
CAAUCUCAGUUCAGACUGCAGGCUGCAACUCGCCUGCACGAAGUCGGAAUUGCUAGUAAUCGUAGGUCAGCAUACUACGGUGAAUACGUUCCCGGGCCUUGUACACACCGCCCGUCAAACCAUGAGAGUUGGCAACACCCGAAGUCGGUAGUCUAACCGCAAGGAGGACGCCGCCGAAGGUGGGGUUGAUGAUUAGGGUUAAGUCGUAACAAGGUAAC